AGCGAACGCUGGCGGCAGGCUUAACACAUGCAAGUCGAACGCCCCGCAAGGGGAGUGGCAGACGGGUGAGUAACACGUGGGAACGUACCCUUUGGUUCGGAAUAACUUGGGGAAACUCAAGCUAAUACCGGAUAAGCCCUUAUGGGGAAAGAUUUAUCGGGGAUGGAUGAGCCCGCGUUGGAUUAGCUAGUUGGUGGGGUAAAGGCCUACCAAGGCGACGAUCCAUAGCUGGUCUGAGAGGAUGAUCAGCCACAUUGGGACUGAGACACGGCCCAAACUCCUACGGGAGGCAGCAGUGGGGAAUAUUGGACAAUGGGCGCAAGCCUGAUCCAGCCAUGCCGCGUGAGUGAUGAAGGCCCUAGGGUUGUAAAGCUCUUUCACCGAUGAAGAUAAUGACGGUAGUCGGAGAAGAAGCCCCGGCUAACUUCGUGCCAGCAGCCGCCGUAA
rnacentral:rRNA from 1 species